rnacentral:misc_RNA from 1 species
AUUUGGACUUCAAUUUUACAGAAAUUAUACAAGGCUGCCAAACGAUAGUAGGCAUAAUAACAAUAACAAAAACAAUCAAGAAGGCUUAUGAUUUUGGACAUUUUUAUUUGCAAAACGUUGCACCAGUUUCUUACCAUACCAUAUCAAAAUUCUCACCCCCUUUCAAUUUACAGCAACCAACAAGUAAACAAGCAAACCAUCUCCUCCAUAAAUAUUCCCCUUUUUGUCUAUAAAGCCAGUGCAAUGGUUUUUAUAGAUCGACACCCUCAUCAACGCCCUUGGAGCUGAUCAUGACAUUGGAAUCAAUUUGUUUGUCAAAUUUUUUUUUCCUCCUAGCUUCAAAAUCCUCAAAUCCUUCCAUCUGCUGAAAUUG